rnacentral:rRNA from 1 species
GACGAACGCUGGCGGCGUGCUUAACACAUGCAAGUCGAACGGAAAGGCCCUGCUUUUGUGGGGUGCUCGAGUGGCGAACGGGUGAGUAACACGUGAGUAACCUGCCCUUGACUUUGGGAUAACUUCAGGAAACUGGGGCUAAUACCGGAUAGGAGCUCCUGCUGCAUGGUGGGGGUUGGAGAGUUUCGGCGGUUGGGGAUGGACUAGCGGCUUAUCAGCUUGUUGGUGGGGUAGUGGCUGACCAAGGCUUUGACGGGUAGCCCGCCUGAGAGCGUGAACGGCCACAUUGCGACUGAGAUACGGCGCAGACUCCUACGGGAGGCAGCAGUGGGGAAUAUUGCACAAUGGGCGGAAGCCUGAUGCAGCAACGCCGCGUGCGGGAUGCCGGCCUUCGGGUUGUAAACCGCUUUCGCCUGUGACGAAGCGUGAGUGACGGUAAUGGGUAAAGAAGCACCGGCUAACUACGUG